CCAGACUCCUACGGGAGGCAGCAGUGGGGGAUAUUGCACAAUGGAGGAAACUCUGAUGCAGCGACGCCGCGUGAGGGAAGACGGUCUUCGGAUUGUAAACCUCUGUCUUUGGGGAAGAAAAUGACGGUACCCAAAGAGGAAGCUCCGGCUAACUACGUGCCAGCAGCCGCGGUAAUACGUGGGGAGCGAGCGUUGUCCGGAAUUACUGGGUGUAAAGGGAGCGUAGGCGGGCGAGAAAGUUGAAUGUUAAAUCUACCGGCUUAACUGGUAGCUGCGUUCAAAACUUCUUGUCUUGAGUGAAGUAGAGGCAGGCGGAAUUCCUAGUGUAGCGGUGAAAUGCGUAGAUAUCACGAAGAACCCCGAUUGCGAAGGCAGCAUACCGGCUCCACACUGACGCUGAGGCACGAAAGCGUGGGUAUCGAACAGGAUUAGAUACCCUAGUA
rnacentral:rRNA from 1 species